GGAUCAAACUUGCUCAGAUUGAACGCUGGCGGCAUGCCUUACACAUGCAAGUCGAACGGCAGCACGGGAGCAAUCCUGGUGGCGAGUGGCGAACGGGUGAGUAAUACAUCGGAACGUGCCCAGUUGUGGGGGAUAGCCCGGCGAAAGCCGGAUUAAUACCGCAUAAGACCUGAGGGUGAAAGCGGGGGACCGCAAGGCCUCGCGCGAUUGGAGCGGCCGAUGUCAGAUUAGGUAGUUGGUGGGGUAAAGGCCUACCAAGCCGACGAUCUGUAGCUGGUCUGAGAGGACGACCAGCCACACUGGACUGAGACACGGCCCAGACUCCUACGGGAGGCAGCAGUGGGGAAUUUUGGACAAUGGGCGCAAGCCUGAUCCAGCCAUGCCGCGUGUGGGAAGAAGGCCUUCGGGUUGUAAACCACUUUUGUCAGGGAAGAAACGGCCCGAUCUAAUACAUUGGGCUAAUGACGGUACCUGAAGAAUAAGCACCGGCUAACUACGUGCCAGCAGCCGCGGUAAUACGUAGGGUGCGAGCGUUAAUCGGAAUUACUGGGCGUAAAGCGUGCGCAGGCGGCUUUGCAAGACAGAUGUGAAAUCCCCGGGCUCAACCUGGGAACUGCAUUUGUGACUGCAAGGCUAGAGUACGGUAGAGGGGGAUGGAAUUCCGCGUGUAGCAGUGAAAUGCGUAGAUAUGCGGAGGAACACCGAUGGCGAAGGCAAUCCCCUGGACCUGUACUGACGCUCAUGCACGAAAGCGUGGGGAGCAAACAGGAUUAGAUACCCUGGUAGUCCACGCCCUAAACGAUGUCAACUGGUUGUUGGACGGCUUGCUGUUCAGUAACGAAGCUAACGCGUGAAGUUGACCGCCUGGGGAGUACGGCCGCAAGGUUGAAACUCAAAGGAAUUGACGGGGACCCGCACAAGCGGUGGAUGAUGUGGUUUAAUUCGAUGCAACGCGAAAAACCUUACCUACCCUUGACAUGUCAGGAAGUUACCAGAGAUGGUUUCGUGCUCGAAAGAGAACCUGAGCACAGGUGCUGCAUGGCCGUCGUCAGCUCGUGUCGUGAGAUGUUGGGUUAAGUCCCGCAACGAGCGCAACCCUUAUCAUUAGUUGCUACUGCAAAGGGCACUCUAAUGAGACUGCCGGUGACAAACCGGAGGAAGGUGGGGAUGACGUCAGGUCAUCAUGGCCCUUAUGGGUAGGGCUACACACGUCAUACAAUGGCCGGUACAGAGGGCUGCCAACCCGCGAGGGGGAGCUAAUCUCAGAAAACCGGUCGUAGUCCGGAUCGCAGUCUGCAACUCGACUGCGUGAAGUCGGAAUCGCUAGUAAUCGCGGAUCAGCUUGCCGCGGUGAAUACGUUCCCGGGUCUUGUACACACCGCCCGUCACACCAUGGGAGCGGGUUCUGCCAGAAGUAGUUAGCCUAACCGCAAGGGGGGCGAUUACCACGGCAGGGUUCGUGACUGGGGUGAAGUCGUAACAAGGUA
rnacentral:rRNA from 1 species